rnacentral:rRNA from 1 species
GACGAACGCUGGCGGCGUGCUUAACACAUGCAAGUCGAACGGAAAGGCCUUGCUUUUGUGGGGUGCUCGAGUGGCUAACGGGUGAGUAACACGUGAGUAACCUGCCCUUGACUUUGGGAUAACUUCAGGAAACUGGGGCUAAUUCCUGAUAGGAGCUCCUGCUGCAUGGUGGGGGUUGGAAAGUUUCGGCGGUUGGGGAUGGACUCGCGGCUUAUCAGCUUGUUGGUGGGGUAGUGGCUUACCAAGGCUUUGACGGGUAGCCGGCCUGAGAGGGUGACCGGCCACAUUGGGACUGAGAUACGGCCCAGACUCCUACGGGAGGCAGCAGUGGGGAAUAUUGCAAAAUGGGCGGAAGCCUGAAGCAGCAACGCCGCGUGCGGGAUGACGGCCUUCGGGUUGUAAACCGCUUUCGCCUGUGACGAAGCGUGAGUGACGGUAAUGGGUAAAGAAGCACCGGCUAACUACGUG